UACGUAGGGGGCAAGCGUUGUCCGGAUUUAUUGGGCGUAAAGAGCGUGUAGGCGGUCAGGUAGGUCCGUUGUGAAAACUCGAGGCUCAACCUCGAGACGCCGAUGGAAACCAUCUGACUAGAGUCCGGAAGAGGGGAGUGGAAUUCCUGGUGUAGCGGUGAAAUGCGCAGAUAUCAGGAAGAACACCCGUGGCUAAGGCGGCUCUCUAGUACGGUACUGACGCUGAGGCGCGAAAGCGUGGGGAGCGAACAGG
rnacentral:rRNA from 1 species